rnacentral:rRNA from 1 species
AAGCCCAGCUUGCUGGGUGGAUCAGUGGCGAACGGGUGAGUAACACGUGAGCAAUCUGCCCCUGACUCUGGGAUAAGCGCUGGAAACGGCGUCUAAUACUGGAUACGAACCGUGGAGGCAUCUUCAACGGUUGGAAAGAUUUUUUGGUCAGGGAUGAGCUCGCGGCCUAUCAGCUUGUUGGUGAGGUAAUGGCUCACCAAGGCGUCGACGGGUAGCCGGCCUGAGAGGGUGACCGGCCACACUGGGACUGAGACACGGCCCAGACUCCUACGGGAGGCAGCAGUGGGGAAUAUUGCACAAUGGGCGAAAGCCUGAUGCAGCAACGCCGCGUGAGGGAUGACGGCCUUCGGGUUGUAAACCUCUUUUAGCAGGGAAGAAGCGAAAGUGACGGUACCUGCAGAAAAAGCGCCGGCUAACUACGUGCCAGCAGCCGCGGUAAUACGUAGGGCGCAAGCGUUAUCCGGAAUUAUUGGGCGUAAAGAGCUCGUAGGCGGUUUGUCGCGUCUGCUGUGAAAUCCCGAGGCUCAACUUCGGGUCUGCAGUGGGUACGGGCAGACUAGAGUGCGGUAGGGGAGAUUGGAAUUCCUGGUGUAGCGGUGGAAUGCGCAGAUAUCAGGAGGAACACCGAUGGCGAAGGCAGAUCUCUGGGCCGUAACUGACGCUGAGGAGCGAAAGGGUGGGGAGCAAACAGGCUUAGAUACCCUGGUAGUCCACCCCGUAAACGUUGGGAACUAGUUGUGGGGUCCAUUCCACGGAUUCCGUGACGCAGCUAACGCAUUAAGUUCCCCGCCUGGGGAGUACGGCCGCAAGGCUAAAACUCAAAGGAAUUGACGGGGACCCGCACAAGCGGCGGAGCAUGCGGAUUAAUUCGAUGCAACGCGAAGAACCUUACCAAGGCUUGACAUAUACGAGAACGCUGCAGAAAUGUAGAACUCUUUGGACACUCGUAAACAGGUGGUGCAUGGUUGUCGUCAGCUCGUGUCGUGAGAUGUUGGGUUAAGUCCCGCAACGAGCGCAACCCUCGUUCUAUGUUGCCAGCACGUAAUGGUGGGAACUCAUGGGAUACUGCCGGGGUCAACUCGGAGGAAGGUGGGGAUGACGUCAAAUCAUCAUGCCCCUUAUGUCUUGGGCUUCACGCAUGCUACAAUGGCCGGUACAAAGGGCUGCAAUACCGUGAGGUGGAGCGAAUCCCAAAAAGCCGGUCCCAGUUCGGAUUGAGGUCUGCAACUCGACCUCAUGAAGUCGGAGUCGCUAGUAAUCGCAGAUCAGCAACGCUGCGGUGAAUACGUUCCCGGGUCUUGUACACACCGCCCGUCAAGUCAUGAAAGUCGGUAACACCUGAAGCCGGUGGCC